AAACACAGGAGAGUUCGAGAUGUAACGCCAUGGGGUAGGAGCCCGGAACUAUUCUCCAAGACAGGUUGGCUGACCCUGCCCUCCACUUCUGCUGCUUCUUGCGUGGCCUUUAAACGGCGGUCCACAUUUGCGAAGACUCUUUGAAGAUGACUCGCGCUUGACUCGAUGGAGCUAGUAUUGCUCACCCUGUUGGUGUUCUGCUUAGGGUGCAGCCAGGCUGAACAAACCUGUGUCCUUGAUGGAAUCAGAAUUCAAAGGAAGUCUGAUCAAUCAUCAGAAGGCAGCUCAACCAGCUCAGAAUUAGAGCAGAGAAACAGAAUUGCCGUAACAGAAACGUCUCUCAGACCCUGAUGGAAAUGUUCUUGCUCUGAAGCUUGGGUUCAGUACUCGGUGCUACCACGUGUGGUCUCUGCAGCCGUGGCCAAGGUGUCUAACUGCUCCACACCCCUGUUCUGUGGUUAGUCCGUGGGAGGAAGAAUGUUUUCCUUGUGAUUCACCCACCAUGUGUAGACCAAGGUUAUGUAUAAGGAUGGUCUGAAUGCUACUUUGCAUUGUGGAGAGCUGUCACGGUGACAAAACUGGAAACUGCUCUUCCUAAGCUGUCACCUGACAGGCCCAGGUUGGUGCCCCCCCCUCAAAUUAUUUAUUUUUGUGUGUGGAUGUUUUGCCUGCAUGUAUUUCUUCUGUGCACUCUGUGUGUGCAAGUGCCCACAGAGGUCAGAAGAGGGCGUCAGAUCCCCUAGGACUGGAGUUAUAGGCAGUUGUGAACCAUCACGUGGGUGCUGGGAAUUGAACCUGGGCCUUCUGGAAGAGCAGACAGUGCUCUUAACCCCAGAGACAUCUCUCCAGUCCUGAACUGGCGUUUUUUCCUUAAGGAGGGAUGUGGUUGCCUCCCAGACUCCAAUACCCAGUGAAUCUCCUGGGUGUGUGCAUGAUUCUAAGUUGCUAAGCGUCUAGCUGAGGCAGAUCCCGCUGGAGCGGGUAGCAAGAUUUUGGCAGGUUUUUCUGUUGAUGUUUAAGAGCCCAUGUAUUUAAAGAUUAGCAGAUAAAUGUGUACAAUUCUUUUUACCAAUUUAAAACAUUUGUCA